rnacentral:rRNA from 1 species
GACGAACGCUGGCGGCGUGCUUAACACAUGCAAGUCGAACGGUAAGGCCCUUCGGGGUACACGAGUGGCGAACGGGUGAGUAACACGUGGGUGAUCUGCUCUGCACUUCGGGAUAAGCCUGGGAAACUGGGUCUAAUACCGGAUAGGACCCUGGGAUGCAUGUCCUGGGGUGGAAAGCUUUUGCGGUGUGGGAUGGGCCCGCGGCCUAUCAGCUUGUUGGUGGGGUGAUGGCCUACCAAGGCGACGACGGGUAGCCGGCCUGAGAGGGUGACCGGCCACACUGGGACUGAGAUACGGCCCAGACUCCUACGGGAGGCAGCAGUGGGGAAUAUUGCACAAUGGGCGCAAGCCUGAUGCAGCGACGCCGCGUGAGGGAUGACGGCCUUCGGGUUGUAAACCUCUUUCAGUAGGGACGAAGCGCAAGUGACGGUACCUACAGAAGAAGGACCGGCCAACUACGUGCCAGCAGCCGCGGUAA